rnacentral:rRNA from 1 species
UGGUGGAGUGAUUUGUCUGCUUAAUUGCGAUAACGAACGAGACCUCGGGCCCCUUAAAUAGCCCGGUCCGCAUUUGCGGGCCGCUGGCUUCUUAGGGGGGACUAUCGGCUCAAGCCGAUGGAAGUGCGCGGCAAUAACA